rnacentral:rRNA from 1 species
GACGAACGCUGGCGGCGUGCUUAACACAUGCAAGUCGAACGGAAAGGCCCUGCUUUUGUGGGGUGCUCGAGUGGCGAACGGGUGAGUAACACGUGAGUAACCUGCCCUUGACUUUGGGAUAACUUCAGGAAACUGGGGCUAAUACCGGAUAGGAGCUCCUGCUGCAUGGUGGGGGUUGGAAAGUUUCGGCGGUUGGGGAUGGACUCGCGGCUUAGCAGCUUGUUGGUGGGGUAGUGGCUUACCAAGGCGUUGACGGGUAGCCGGCCUGAGAGGGUGACCGGCCACAAUGGAAGUGAGAGACGGUCCAGACGCCUACGGGAGGCAGCAGUGGGGAAUAGUGGACAAUGGGCGCAAGGCGGAUCCAGCCAGACCGCGUGGGUGAAGAAGGCCUUCGGGUUGUAAAGCCGUGUGGUUGGGAAAGAAAAGCAGCAGGUUAAUACCCCGCUGUUCUGACGGUACCCAAAGAAUAAGCAACGGCUAACUUCGUG